UGGGGAAUAUUGGACAAUGGGGGCAACCCUGAUCCAGCCAUGCCGCGUGAGUGACGAAGGCCCUAGGGUUGUAAAGCUCUUUCAGUGGUGACGAUGAUGACGGUAGCCACAGAAGAAGCCCCGGCUAACUCCGUGCCAGCAGCCGCGGUAAUACGGAGGGGGCAAGCGUUGUUCGGAAUUACUGGGCGUAAAGGGCGCGUAGGCGGUCUGUUGCGUCAGGUGUGAAAGCCCCGGGCUCAACCUGGGAGGUGCACUUGAUACGGGCAGGCUUGAAUCCGGGAGAGGAUGGUGGAAUUCCCAGUGUAGAGGUGAAAUUCGUAGAUAUUGGGAAGAACACCGAUGGCGAAGGCAGCCAUCUGGCCCGGUAUUGACGCUGAGGCGCGAAAGCGUGGGGAGCAAACAGGAUUAGAUACCCCGGUAGUCC
rnacentral:rRNA from 1 species